rnacentral:rRNA from 1 species
GACGAACGCUGGCGGCGUGCCUAAUACAUGCAAGUCGAGCGAGCGGAACCAACAGAUUUACCUCGGUAAUGACGUUGGGAAAGCGAGCGGCGGAUGGGUGAGUAACACGUGGGGAACCUGCCCCUAAGUCUGGGAUACCAUUUGGAAACAGGUGCUAAUACCGGAUAUUAUUGUUACAUGGCAUCAUGUAGGAAUGAAAGGAUAAGAUUGCUAGAGGAGAGCUUUGCAUCCUAUUAGCUAGUUGGUAAGGUAGCGGCUUACCAAGGCGAUGAUAGGUAGCCGGCCUGAGAGGGUGGACGGCCACAAGGGGACUGAGAUACGGCCCUU